GAGUGUUUGAAGAACUCCUUUUUUAAUUGUUUAUUAUUUUAAAAAAUAAAAAAUGUCAAAUACGAAAAUACAAUUAAUGUUCUUUUGUGUAAUUAAGAUAUUGGUUUAAGUAAGAGAGAAGUGACACUUGUCAUGAGUAAAAGGGAAAAAGUCUAAAAGAUAAGGUUAGAGAGAGGGUUGAUAGCCCCCUUGUGCAAUUUGCUGCAUAGGCUAACUGAGAAGGGGUUGAUAGUGACACACAUUGGUUCUUGUGUCUACAUCAAAAGGCUACGUCAAAAGGUGUUUAAGGCUCGC
rnacentral:lncRNA from 1 species